rnacentral:rRNA from 1 species
GACGAACGCUGGCGGCGCGCCUAACACAUGCAAGUCGAGCGAUGAAAUUUUAACCGCUUUCUUCGGAGAGAAGAUAAAAUGGAUUAGCGGCGGACGGGUGAGUAACACGUGAGAAACCUGCCUUUCACAAGGGGAUAGCCUCGGGAAACCGGGAUUAAUACCCUAUGACACAUUUCCUUCGCAUGGAAGAAAUGUUAAAACUCCGGUGGUGAAAGAUGGUCUCGCGCCUGAUUAGCUAGUUGGUGGGGUAACGGCCCACCAAGGCCAUGAUCAGUAACCGGCCUGAGAGGGUGAACGGUCACAUUGGAACUGAGACACGGUCCAAACUCCUACGGGAGGCAGCAGUGGGGAAUAUUGCACAAUGGAGGAAACUCUGAUGCAGCGACGCCGCGUGAGCGAUGAAGGCUUUCGAGUCGUAAAGCUCUGUCCUAUGGGAAGAUAAUGACGGUACCAUAGGAGGAAGCCCCGGCUAACUACGUG